rnacentral:lncRNA from 1 species
CUAGGACGUGCGUCUUUCGAGCCCAUUUUACGGAUGGGGAAACUGAGGCUUAGAGGCUGAGGCCCUUCCCCAGAGCCGCAGCAGGCCUGGCACCGGGUCUGCCCAGCUCCCCGGGAGGCUGCGGGAGGGCCAGGUGGCAUGCAAGGAGUUAAGCGGUAGGCAGUGCCGUGGCUCCGCGCGAGGAGCGCGCCGGGCUGAGGCGUGCUGGCGGCGGCGGCGGCGCUGGGAGCUCGGGCUCCAGAGACGUGAAGUCCGGGGGAUCGAGCGAGGCAGGAAGGGAGGCAGAGAGAGAGAGGGAGGCGAGGCGGCCGGAGCCCCGCGCCCAGCCGCAGCCCGCGCCCAGCGCGCAGCGGGCCCGGGCAUCCCCGGGCGGGUGCCUGCGCGGGGCCUCGCCUUGGCGCGGGGCACCCGCAGUGCCGCCCGCCCGCCAGCCCGCCCGAGCGCUAGGCUCGCAGGAGCCCGGUUUGCACUUCCUCUCGCCUCCGCCCGCCUCCCCGGCUCACCGGCUGGCGUCGCCACCGCCUCCUCGUCCCCGGCCACCGCUUUCGCCGCUGCUGCAAUCCAGGACGCACACUCUUCCACUUUCCCGCUGGAGGCGCGGAGGAUGCCCCUUGCACCAGACCCGGAGAAAUAGCCCCCCGGGCCGCCGGGAGGAGACUAGGCGGCGAGAAAGAAAAUCCAGUCUCCCUUUCCUGGAUGCCACUGCAGCAGCUGGCAGCUGGGAAGGCACCCACAGAGCGGGUGCGCCAAGCGGGACGCGGGAGUCGCAGAGAGAGAGACCCCGGGCGCUGGCUGGGCUCCGUUGGCAGAGUUUGCAAAUGACUGAGACCCUCAGGAACCCAUGGGCUGCGUUUAAACUUCUGCAGAGCUGAUUGUUCCUCUCAGAGACUCAUAAUCAUCCCAAAUCUUCGACUCAGAAAGCCCUUCACCAUCCAACCUCAGUUCCAUCCCAGAUAUCUGCUUUCCCACAGCCCAGGCCACAGAUGUUCACAAACCUGGGUGAGAAUCUGGCAAUAGCUCUAACACAGGUAAAACUUUUUUAAAUUGAAAGUUGUUGUUGUUUAGUUGCUAAGUCAUGUCCUAUUCCUUGUGACCCCACGGGCCGUAGCCCACCAGACUCCUCUGUUCGAGGGAUUUCCCAGGCAAGAAUACUGGAGUGGGUUGCCAUUUCCUUCUCCAGCAGAUCUUCCAGACCUCAGGAUCAAACCUGCAUCCCCUGAGGUUUGCAUUCUCUACCACUGAGCCGUCUGGGGGGUUGAAAAUGGCAACAACAUAACUCAAACGGACUUCCUAAAGAGAAUCUUUUCUCUUGGCUCACAGCCAUCUAAAUCUGUAAGCGCUUGCUUUAGGUGCGGUUUGAUCCAGGCUGAAACAAAAAACAUCAGAUCUUAGUUUCUCUGCGUCUCUACCUUAACUGGUCUUUGGCUGCCUGACAUUAACAAGACAUCCCCAAGAGCCCAGUCUCAUUUCUCCUACUUGUCCUAAUCCACAAGAAACCAGAACCUCCCUCUCCCAGCCAGUCUCGUUGACUCUAAUUAGAUUAUCUGCCUGCUCCCGAACCAGUCACUGUGGUAGGAGAGGAAGACAGCUAUGCUGAUUGGCUUAGUCUAGUCAAGACUCGUCUUUGGAGCUGAAUGUGGGGUUAACCCUACUCAGACCACAUUGGCUAGAGGAGAUGUGGGUUCUGCAGGGUGUUGAAGCCAGAGGAAGCGGGCAGGGGUCAAAGGAUGCUGCAGUUGCAUUAACCAAUGUCUUAAAAACUUUCUUCAAGAAACAACAGAUUUUCCAUUAGAAACCUGGUGAUAUAACAGAAUUGAAGGAGUCUCCUUCUCUCCCUCUCUCCUCUCUAACUUGUUCCCAGUGCCGUGUUGC